AGUGACAGAGUGAGGGAGGGAAGUGGUGACUAGUGACAGAGGGAGGGGUGACUAGGGACAGAGUGAGGGAGGUUGUGACUAGUGACAGUCACCACCUCCUUCACUCUGUCACUGUGUCACCCCCUUCCUCACUCUGUCACUGUGUCACCCCUUCCUCACUCUGUCACUAGUCACCCACUCCCUCCAUCACUCUGUCACU